GGAGCGUGUUAUAGCCUGACGUGCAAUGCGGCCACCUGAGACCGAGGACCGCGCUUCGGCAAGGAUGCUGGCGUAAUGGCCUCAUGCGGCCCGUCUUGAAACACGGACCAAGGAGUCUAACAUCUAUGCGAGUGUUUGGGUUUGAAGCCCGGACGCGGAAUGAAAGUGAACGGAGGUGGGAGUCCGCAAGGACGCACCAUCGACCGAUCCGGACGUUUUCCGAAGGAUUUGAGUAAGAGCAUAGCUGUUGGGACCCGAAAGAUGGUGAACUAUGCGUGAAUAGGGUGAAGCCAGAGGAAACUCUGGUGGAGGCUCGCAGCGGUUCUGACGUGCAAAUCGAUCGUCAAAUUUGCGUAUAGGGGCGAAAGACUAAUCGAACCAUCUAGUAGCUGGUUCCUGCCGAAGUUUCCCUCAGGAUAGCAGUAACGUAUUCAGUUUUAUGAGGUAAAGCGAAUGAUUAGGGAGCUAGGGGUUGAAACAACCUUUAUCCAUUCUCGAACUUUAAAUAUGUAAGGAGUCCUUGUUGCUUUGUUGAACGUGGACAGUCGAAUGCAGCGUUACUAGUGGGCCAUUUUUGGUAAGCAGAACUGGCGAUGCGGGAUGAACCGAACGUGGGGUUAAGGUGCCGGAAUGCACGCUCAUCAGACACCACAAAAGGUGUUGGUUCAUCUA
rnacentral:rRNA from 1 species